GGACCAGGGCUCGAACCCGUGCCCCCAGCAUUGGCAGGCGGAUUCUUAACCACUGUGCCACCAGGGAAGGCCCAUAUUUAUGUUCUUUAAAAUCAUCUGCAAUUUGACCAUUUUGGGAGGCUUGUUAACAGUGAAUUAUGUCUCCAUUCCCUCCCACUAUACUGGAUUGGUCCCUGAGGUGGAGCCAAGAAAUCAGAUUUUUUACAAAACUGCAAAGAUAACCUAUUGCUAAGAUGUGAGAAUCACUAUUCAAAGGGUUGUUCAAACAAAAUAAUGUAUAGUUUUGGUGUGCUACCACCUGGUAAACGCAGGUGUUUAUCACAGGAGGCCCACAGGCUUAGAAGUAUGACUAAGAAAAAGCAGAUUAAUUUCCACCUGCUUUUUAAAAACAGUGGCUCUUUUAAACAGUUAAGUACAAUAGUCAGAUAAACUGAUGUUUAAAGAGAGGAGAAGUUUCGGGAAGAGUUUCUAGAAAGAUCACUAGACUUUAUAAAGACCUGUCUUCAAUGCUGUGAUUUAUCAGCUGCGUGACUGGGAAGUAUGUGACUUAACCUCUGAACCUUAGUUUUCUCAAGUAUGAAUUAUGAAAACAAGCCCUAUCUUAAAUGAUUCUGGUUAGAAUAUAGUGAAAUACAUGGCCUAAAAACCUGUUAAGUAUCAUGCAAAUGUUUGAAAUAACUACUGUUUUUUUUCAAUAAUCCUGAACAACACUUCACAACUUAAUUUUGCUCUAAAUUAAAGAAUGACCAGAAUGCUUUCAAAGUUUUAUAAAUCCUUCCUGGUCUUGAUAUGUACUGCUAAAUCUUUAAGGGAAUUAGGGCAUGAAAUCUGCUGUUUAUCAAAUGUUACUGUCUUGACCUUUGACCAUAAGAAAGCUUUCAUCAUCUGCUACAAUAGACAUUUUACUUUGCUUUCAGAAAUUGUCAGAGCUUCUAUUUUUGUCCUAACAUGGAGCAGAAGGAAGGGAAGGUUAAAAGUUCAUUAAAUACAACCUCAGUGAUAAAGAAAAAAGCAUACAAGUUUUCUCCCCAGUCAGACAAAUUUACUUUUUGAAAAGAAUCCUGCAAGGAUUUCCACUAAAAUUCCACUAGUUACUUUUCACAUCCAAUUUUCUUUCUCCCGUGUUUGCCUCAGCCUAUUUCACACUACUGCUAUAAUAGUGUUAGUUCAAUUUUUAAAGAACCCUAAAAUUAUGAGAAACUAUUUAUAUACCAGAUCAUCUCAUUUUAAUCCUACUCUGGUAAUUUCCCCUAAAGAUGAACAAGUCAUCUCUCAGCCCUGGAUUUCUAGUAAAGUACAUAGACAGAUUUUGUGUAAUAAUUUUAAAAACUUGUAUCCAGAGCAAAGCCCAGCUUUGAAAAAAGGUAUUGACCAGAGGUUUUCAGGGAUUGGUGCAGUUUGAGAAACUUCACUGGUGUGCCCCUGAGUCAGGACGUUGGCUUCAGUUGUCCCCCAGAAUUUCAUUCCUCUUCCACUAACUGUUGGGGUGCCAUGGAGUAAGCUGUCAGCAUCUGGCACACUACCUUCUCAGCUGACCCGCUCUCUACCUGUAGCCCUCCCAGAAAAUACUGGGCAAAGUGGAGGCAAUACUACGAAAGCGUGAAAUCCGUGAGUAUUCUCUGUCCCUGGCUAAGCCACCUCCCUUCCUCCAGCCUCUAAGCCAACUGGAAGGUGCUCAUAGACAUUUCUGAAACCUGCCAGUAUGCCAAAAGGAGUCAGAAGUAUUUCCACCCCUUUCCUAAGAAAGUCUUAGGUCCUGUUUCAGAGUGGCCUCCUUAGAAAUUGAGUUUCAAAGAUGGGGGCAGCGGGGUCUUUUUAAGGACUUGAGUGAUAAGGAGUAAAAGAGUCGAGUGGUCCCACUGAAGAAAAAACGUUUGUUAAUAUAAAAUUAGCUGAAACCCAUGCUACCAGAAAAGCACCAGUAGGUGGCAGGAGUAUGCAGCAUAUUCAGUUCUUAAGUGCCAGUCUGGCCUGCCUUGGAAAAGUUAAUAUCUGGGGCAGUCUGUUCCUGUUGUUAAUGGUCAGCUAACCUGAAGCGAGAGGCGAUUUCACCCCACUGGAGUAGAAUUGCAGGGGGUCAGAUGAAAUCGUCCGUGAGAAAAUGCCCUAGAAACUAUGAAUUACUAUACAAGUAAUAGUACUAUUUCCAGAUUUUUAUGGUAAGUGAUUUUUUUCCGCCAUGUUUGUUUUAGUAUCUAAAGCUUUAGCUUGCACAACUUCAAAAUUUUUUUUCAACAACUAUUUUUUGAUAUCGUCUUUUGACAAUGACAGCCUGAGGUCACAGGAACAUCACAGUGUGACUUUGAAGUUAGUUAACCUCUUGAAGCCUCAUUUCCUCAACUUUAAAAAAAUAUGGAAACUAAUUUCUAGAGAACAUGUGUGAAAACUAUAAGCCCUACAGUAUUCUAAAAACAAAACAUUUCUAUAAAUUGAGUGAGGUUCAAUGAGUUAUUUAAUUAGCUUAGGCUCCAGUUGCUAAAAAGUAUUUGCUCGUUCAUUUAUCCAUAUUCAGCAAUAUCUGAGCGCCUAUUACGUGUGUCAGGCAAUAUGCUAGUCAUUAGUCAGCAACACCUGGCACCUACUUCCCAGCAGCCUUACGAAGGAUGUUUGCAAAGCCCAGUACAAAUCCUCAAAGCCACUGUAUCAAUACUGACUGUAUUCCUGCUACAGGAAAUGAAGACAUUCAACAUAGGGGUACACAAGCUCAUAAAGCAGAAUAAAAGGCCUUUGUUUUUCCAGCAAUUAAGUUCUAAGUUUGAAAAGAGGAAACCUACCAGUUUAAAUGGAAAUAACAGAAAUCAUCUUUCCAUGUGCAGUGGACUCUGAAAUUGGAUUAACCUUACAUUCUAAAAUGAGCUUCCUCUGUCUCCCUUCCAGAAGCAAAUGUAAAUCAGCAUUUUCAGGGCACAUGGAGAAAAGAAGGAACACCAGCUCACCUCCAACAGACAUGCCAAGUAGAGGACUUCCGUAACAGUGAAAGGCAGGGGCCAAGGCUCAGAGCCUUUGCACAAGAAACGGCCCAGGAGCCCAAAUGGACUAAGAAGACACCAGGUUCCAACUUGUUUGGGGAAGCCCCCAGUUGACAAGAAGUGUGGUUCCAUAGUUAUUGUCACAAACCAUCCCAAAGCUGAUCUUCUCCAUCCUGGAUGUUGCACUGGGACCCUCACCCUCGCCAGAUCUCAGUCCCAGCAGUGAGAGAAACUCCAGUCCCUGCGAAGAUCUGUGGUUAGAUGACUGAACCCGCUCUUGCCCAGCACACAGAAUGAAGUAGAGACCUGCAUCGACCAGCUGGACGAGGCAUAUAGAAACUGAAGCUCAAUACAAUUCUAGGUUGUUAUUCAGGUAGAAAUGCACAGCAGCAUGCAAAAUGGAGAGUGUUCUGAAACCAUGGAGACAUUGGGGUGCUUCCUUCUGUCCUAUGGAAGAAAGUGGGGAGCUGUGAGAAUCAGAGUGGUAGGCUUUGAGGAGAAGCUGGACACAUGUUUUUAGGAAAAUGACCCAAAAAGGAGCCCCCAAGAUUAUCCACGUGAGGUUGAUGAAUGCCUCCACCCCAGGGACACUCACCUUUCCAAUCCCUAGUCUCGUCAGGUGCUCUUACCUGCAGUAGGGAAGAGCAAAGGCAAUCAGCGGAGGCUCCAUCAGCCCACGAUGAAGAGGACCCCCAAAGAAAAAUGUUUAGAAAACCAUACGGGCCCCCUCUAUGUGAACAGUCUGUCAGAAAUGUCUGCCUCCUUACAAAGAAACAGACUAGUCCCAACGUAUCUUAAUAGCUUCAUGAGCUUCUGCACAGUCAGGAAAUUGAUUUUCUGUUCUCUCCUGACUCCUUCUGGACAGUGGAACUCAGUUAUCAAGCUUUACUUCCUGGUCUCCCAGUAACCCUAUUUGGUGAAAUUAGAGUUAGGAGUUUAAUUCAAUGUAGUACAAAGCCCAUGAGAUUGGCUUUAUGGUUUCAAGACCUCUGCUAGGAAACAGAAUCCUGCGAUCUCUAUUCCUCUUCCAAAAAUUGACGGAAAGGUGGGGCGGGGCGGUGGAGUGGGCUGGGGGUCGGCACAGCUCUCCUGAGUUCUGUGCCCCCUGCACCCUGAACUGCUAUGCUUUGAGCCCUUUCAGGGCUAGAUAUCUAUCAGCCUAUUCUGUGAAGCUUGACUGGCACCUAUCUUCAAAAAAAAAAAAGAGGGACUCUUAGAUUUCUUUUCCACGCUGUAUAAAAAUAAAGUGACGAACUGAGCCAAAACACAAAUAGCUGACAUUCUUCAGGCACCUCCCAAGUGGGAUGCAGUUUACAUGCGGCAUUUAAUAUAAUCCUACCCUCGGCCAGCUGCAUGGGUACAUGACCCACGUAGUUCACAGGGGCCCACUCUUAGGAGGGCCCCUGCACUUGGCUUACUGCUCUGCUGUUGCUGUCAUCUUGAGAUUCUUAAUGUCUUCUGAGCAAGGAAUUUUCGUUUUGCACUGUACCCUGCAAAUUAUAUAACCAGUUCUAUCCUCACUAUAACUCUGUUGUUUCGUAGGUAUUGUUGAUCCUAGGGAAACCAAUGUUCAGAGUGGGUUCAGAACCUCACCCAAGUUCAUACAGAUGGAAAAUGGCAGAGCUGAGAUUUGAAGCCAGGUCCCUGCUGCCAACCCCAAAUCCAUGCUCUGUUGAUUCAGUGGUGCUGCCCUCCUGACUUGGUUGUCUAAUUCAAGUCAGCCCAUCUCUCUGAAUUAGGAUAUUAAUUCUGGACACUACAGGUUAAAGUGCAUUAGCAGGUGGGUUUUUCCCCUUAAUCAUCAAGAUAAUUACUUUAGAACUCUAAAUAGUUCUGAAUGUGUAGUAUUUAUUUUCCGACAAAAUGUUUUCCAGCUAAAUCUGCCAAAUUUUGUUUUUGAAACCUAGGCAAUCUUUUUAUCCUCAUACACUUUUUUGUUUUGUUUUGUUUUGUUUUUGUUUUUGAGGUACGUGGGCCUCUCACUCUUGUGGCCUCUCCCGUUGCGGAGCACAGGCUCCGGACGCGCAGGCUC